rnacentral:rRNA from 1 species
AUGGGCGCAAGCCUGAUGCAGCCAUGCCGCGUGUAUGAAGAAGGCCUUCGGGUUGUAAAGUACUUUCAGCAGUGAGGAAGGGGUGUACGUUAAUAGCGUGCAUCUUUGACGUUAGCUGCAGAAGAAGCACCGGCUAACUCCGUGCCAGCAGCCGCGGUAAUACGGAGGGUGCGAGCGUUAAUCGGAAUUACUGGGCGUAAAGCGCAUGCAGGUGGUUUGUUAAGUCAGAUGUGAAAGCCCGGGGCUCAACCUCGGAAUUGCAUUUGAAACUGGCAGACUAGAGUACUGUAGAGGGGGGUAGAAUUUCAGGUGUAGCGGUGAAAUGCGUAGAGAUCUGAAGGAAUACCGGUGGCGAAGGCGGCCCCCUGGACAGAUACUGACACUCAGAUGCGAAAGCGUGGGGAGCAAACAGGAUUAGAUACCCUGGUAGUCCACGCCGUAAACGAUGUCUACUUGGAGGUUGUGGCCUUGAGCCGUGGCUUUCGGAGCUAACGCGUUAAGUAGACCGCCUGGG